rnacentral:tRNA from 1 species
CGUAGAGGUAGUCCGUGGCGCGGGCCGCACCGUUCGGGUCCUCGGUCAGGCGGGACAGUUUGCCUUCCUCGUUCCAGUCCAGGUUCUGCGUC